ACAAGCAAAAAACAGGUGGAGGUCCACGCUGUACAGACCUAACCCCUGCAGAAGAGUUGGCUCUCCAGCAAAAUGCCCAUCGCCCGGUUUCUGAGGGCAUUCCAGGGGGAAGCUCCUCCUCAGAACCAGUGGCAGGAUGCAGUGGUCACUUCAUUUCAGUUGCAGGGAAUGUCAUAUCCCUAGAACCUGUGUCUGACCACCGAGCUAUUGACGAAUGUCAAAUAUUUGAUGAAGACACUGUGUCUGAUUAUUCAUCAGGAGGAGAGGUGCCUGUAGCCAGCACACAUGUACCAUUUGGAACAUCCACAUCAAAAAAAGGAGAUGGUGAG